CAGUAAGAGGGCUGGAGGGGAAGCCGGAGGUGGAAAGUUCUAACAAGAAGUUUCUUGCCCCAGCAGCCGUUUCGGCUGGGGAAUUCUCAGUCAAAAUGGCUCCUUUGAGGAAGGAUCUGUAUUCCCCAUUUGCAGUUGUGGAAAUGAAGGUCAAGCAGCUCGGUCAAGGUCGUGGAGCCAACGGGCAGCAGGAAAGUUCUGUGCAUAAAUCCCAUAAAAUCCCAUAAUGUGGAGCUGACACUGAGCUUACCCAGAACAAAAUCUGCUAAUGAUCACUGCUUGCCAGGAGCCUGCAGAGGGGAUCGACACGUCACAACCCCCAUGCCUGCCUUCUGCCGAAACCUUUUCCGAUUAGGGCCCUUUACACGAGUUUAUAAAAACACUUUGUUCAGAUCA